ACGCUCGACACCUACGUAGGCAGCAGUGGGGAAUAUUGCACAAUGGGGGAAACCCUGAUGCAGCGACGCCGCGUGAAGGAAGAAGUAUUUCGGUAUGUAAACUUCUAUCAGCAGGGAAGAAGAUGACGGUACCUGACUAAGAAGCCCCGGCUAACUACGUGCCUGCAGCCGCGGUAAUCUGAGCGGGCUGGCAAGGC
rnacentral:rRNA from 1 species